ncrna:unclassified sequences Bacteroidales-2 RNA
GCACGUCCCGGAUCUUUCCCAAUCCGGCAGCUAACUGUAAGGUGAGGCAUUUAGGCGUUAUCGCCGAGCUGGGUAUUGGGUAUAGCAUUGGCAUAUACAUUUACCGGCGUCCUCUAUGCGGAUAGUUUUUACCGCUAUCGUGUAUUUUAUUCCGAGCGCACAAGGGCGCAAUUAUGGCAUUAUUCUUACACGUCCUUUUUCCAUACAACUCUCGCACUCCCAAAAUUUAGCGUGCUUUGUGUAUGCGGACUAAAAACACGUUUUUAGACCGUUCCAACUUGCUACAUUGGUUUGUAGUCUUGCUCGGUGUGGUUAUUUAACACCCUAUUUAAUCGCUCCAAAGCGAACAAGCGAAUUUUUGAUUUUCCAAGCCUCAAAAAUAGGUUUCCCACAAAAAGGGCUUUUUGUUU